rnacentral:rRNA from 2 species
UAACUGCGAGUGAAGCGGCACAAGCUCAAAUUUGAAAUCUGGCGUCUUUGGCGUCCGAAUUGUAAUUUGGAGAGGCAUCUUCGGAGACGGCGCCGUCCUAAGUUCCUUGGAACAGGACGUCACAGAGGGUGAGAAUCCCGUGCCUGGAUGGCAGCCCGUUUCCAUGUGAAGUGUCUUCGACGAGUCGAGUUGUUUGGGAAUGCAGCUCAAAAUGGGUGGUAAAUUUCAUCUAAAGCUAAAUACUGGCGAGAGACCGAUAGCGCACAAGUAGAGUGAUCGAAAGAUGAAAAGCACUUUGAAAAGAGAGUUAAAAAGUACGUGAAAUUGUUGAAAGGGAAGCGCUUGAGACCAGACUCGAUCCUUGGUGAUCAGCCUCGCUUCUGCGUGGUGCACUUGCCAUUGAUUGGGCCAGCAUCGGUUCCAGCGGUGGGAUAAAAGGCAAAGGAAUGUAGCUUCCCUCGGGGAGUGUUAUAGCCUUCGUCACAAUGCCAUCAGUCAGGACCGAGGACCGCGCUUCGGCUAGGAUGCUGGCGUAAUGGUCUUAAGCGACCCGUCUUGAAACACGGACCAAGGAGUCUAACAUCUAUGCGAGUGUUCGGGUGGAAAACCCUUGCGCGUAAUGAAAGUGAACGGAGGUGGGAACCCGCGAGGGUGCACCAUCGACCGAUCCUGAUGUCUUCGGAAGGAUUUGAGUAAGAGCAUAGCUGUUGGGACCCGAAAGAUGGUGAACUAUGCCUGAAUAGGGUGAAGCCAGANGAAACUCUGGUGGAGGCUCGCAGCGGUUCUGACGUGCAAUCGAU